rnacentral:rRNA from 1 species
GACAGAGGGUGCAAACGUUGUUCGGAAUUACUGGGCGUAAAGCGAGUGUAGGCGGUCUUGAAAGUCGGAUGUGAAAGCCCUGGGCUCAACCCAGGAAGUGCAUUCGAUACUCCGAGGCUAGAGUACUGGAGAGGUGGGUGGAAUUCUCGGUGUAGAGGUGAAAUUCGUAGAUAUCGGGAGGAACACCAAUGGCGAAGGCAGCUCGCUGGGACGUUACUGACGCUGAGACGCGAAAGCGUGGGGAGCAAACAGG